rfam:Lupinus angustifolius cultivar Tanjil contig_31403, whole genome shotgun sequence.
CCCUCCAAGGAUGAUUAAAAAAAUAACUUUCGUUCUUCUGAGUUAUCUAUGUGGAAAAUUAUUGGAGACCUGAACUGAGGAAGGU